GAUGAACGCUGGCGGCGUGCCUAAUACAUGCAAGUCGAGCGAACAGACGAGGAGCUUGCUCCUCUGACGUUAGCGGCGGACGGGUGAGUAACACGUGGAUAACCUACCUAUAAGACUGGGAUCACUUCGGGAAACCGGAGCUAAUACCGGAUAAUCUAUUGAACCGCAUGGUUCAAUAGUGAAAGACGGUUUUGCUGUCACUUAUAGCUGGAUCCGCGCCGCAUUAGCUAGUUGGUAAGGUAACGGCUUACCAAGGCAACGAUGCGUAGCCGACCUGAGAGGGGGAUCGGCCACACUGGAGCUGAGACACGGUCCAGACUCCUACGGGAGGCAGCAGUAGGGAAUCUUCCGCAAUGGGCGAAAGCCUGACGGAGCAACGCCGCGUGAGUGAUGGAGGUCUUCGGAUCGUAAAACUCUGUUAUUAGGGAAGAACAAAUGUGUAAGGAACUAUGCACGUCUUGACGGUACCGAAUCAGAAAGCCACGGCUAACUACGUG
rnacentral:rRNA from 1 species